rnacentral:rRNA from 1 species
UAUACAGCGAAACUGCGAAUGGCUCAUUAUAUAAGUUAUCGUUUAUUUGAUAGUGCCUUACUACUUGGAUAACCGUGGUAAUUCUGGAGCUAAUACAUGCUAAAAACCCCGACUUCGGAAGGGGUGUAUUUAUUAGAUACAAAACCAAUGCCCUUCGGGGCUCUUUGGUGAUUCAUGAUAACUAUACGAAUCGCACGGCCUUGCGCCGGCGAUGGUUCAUUCAAAUUUCUUCCCUAUCAACUUUCGAUGUUUGGGUAUUGGCCAAACAUGGUUGCAACGGGUAACGGAGGGUUAGGGCUCGACCCCGGAGAAGGAGCCUGAGAAACGGCUACUACAUCCAAGGAAGGCAGCAGGCGCGCAAAUUACCCAAUCCCGACUCGGGGAGGUAGUGACAAUAAAUACUGAUACAGGGCCCUUUCGGGCCUUGUAAUUGGAAUGAGUACAAUUUAAAUCCCUUAACGAGGAACAAUUGGAGGGCAAGUCUGGUGCCAGCAGCCGCGGUAAUUCCAGCUCCAAUAGCGUAUAU